rnacentral:rRNA from 1 species
CGAGCGAAGCACUUUGCUUAGAUUCUUCGGAUGAAGAGGAUUGUGACUGAGCGGCGGACGGGUGAGUAACGCGUGGGUAACCUGCCUCAUACAGGGGGAUAACAGUUAGAAAUGACUGCUAAUACCGCAUAAGACCACAGCACCGCAUGGUGCGGGGGUAAAAACUCCGGUGGUAUGAGAUGGACCCGCGUCUGAUUAGCUAGUUGGUAAGGUAACGGCUUACCAAGGCGACGAUCAGUAGCCGACCUGAGAGGGUGACCGGCCACAUUGGGACUGAGACACGGCCCAAACUCCUACGGGAGGCAGCAGUGGGGAAUAUCGCACAAUGGGGGAAACCCUGAUGCAGCGACGCCGCGUGAGCGAAGAAGUAUUUCGGUAUGUAAAGCUCUAUCAGCAGGGAAGAAAAAGACGGUACCUGACUAAGAAGCACCGGCUAAAUACGUGCCGGCAGCCGCGGUAAUACGUAUGGUGCAAGCGUUAUCCGGAUUUACUGGGUGUAAAGGGAGCGUAGACGGAUGGGCAAGUCUGAUGUGAAAACCCGGGGCUCAACCCCGGGACUGCAUUGGAAACUGUUCAUCUAGAGUGCUGGAGAGGUAAGUAGAAUUCCUAGUGUAGCGGUGAAAUGCGUAGAUAUUAGGAGGAACACCAGUGGCGAAGGCG